AGCCGCAGUGUUAACACUCUUCAAGGAGGUCAACCUUCAAAUCUCUCAUUACUAAGCAGGGCUGAGCCUGGUCAGUACCUGGAUGGGAGACCUCCUGGGAAAACUAGGUUGCUGCUGGAA
rnacentral:rRNA from 1 species